rnacentral:rRNA from 1 species
AUUGAACGCUGGCGGAAUGCUUUACACAUGCAAGUCGAACGGCAGCACGGACUUCGGUCUGGUGGCGAGUGGCGAACGGUUGAGUAAUGUAUCGGAAAGUGCCCAGGCGAGGGGGAUAACGAAGUGAAAAUUACGCUAAUACCGCAUACUAUCUAGUGAUGAAAGCGUGUGAUCGCAAGACCUCGCGCGAUUGGAGCGGCCGAUAUCAGAUUAGGUAGUUGGGGGGGUAAAGGCCCACCAAGCCAACGAUCUGUCGCUGGUCUGAGAGGACGACCAGCCACACUGGAACCGAGACACGGUCCAGACUCCUACGGGAGGCAGCAGUGGGGAAUUUUGGACAAUGGGCGAAAGACUGAUCCAGCCAUUCCGCGUGCAGGAUGAAGGCCCUCGGGUUGUAAACUGCUUUUGUACAGAACGAAAAGGUUUCUACUAAUACUAGGAGCUCAUGACGGUACUGUAAGAAUAAGCACCGGCUAACUACGUGCCAGCCGCCGCCGUAA